rnacentral:tRNA from 1 species
GCGGGCAUGGUGAAAUUGGUAGACAGAUUUAGGUUCUGGUGCCGUGAGGUGUGGGGGUUCAAGUCCCUCUGCCCGCACCA